rnacentral:tRNA from 1 species
GCGCCUGUGGCUCAAAAGGAUAGGGUGCUGGUCUCAUAUGCCAGAGGUGGCAGGUUCAAACCCAGCCCCAGCCCA